rnacentral:rRNA from 1 species
UUACCCUACGGGAGGCAGCAGUGAGGAAUAUUGGUCAAUGGGCGGUAGCCUGAACCAGCCAAGUAGCGUGAAGGAUGAAGGUUCUAUGGAUUGUAAACUUCUUUUAUAAAGGAAUAAAGAGAGGCACGUGUGCCUUUUUGUAUGUACUUUAUGAAUAAGGAUCGGCUAAAUCCGAGACAGCAGCCGCGGUAAUACGGAGGAUCCGAGCGUUAACAGGAUUUAUUGGGGUGAAAGGGAGCGUAGAUGGGUUGUUAAGUCAGUUGUGAAAGUUUGCGGCUCAACCGUAAAAUUGCAAU